AGGACUGUAUCCAUACGGAACGGUACCAGGACACCCGAACAUUUAUUUUGUUGCUGUAGCUGAACGGUACAAUAAUCAGUAAUCUGCUCUGAGCCGAUGAGGACCGAGACAGAGGG
rfam:Aneurinibacillus migulanus strain DSM 2895 super7, whole genome shotgun sequence.